CGAUUUUAUUGCUUUUUGACAAGAGAAUGAUGAUGAUGAAGAGUUGAGAUUAGU
rnacentral:sRNA from 1 species